CUUCUAUUUCUGGUUUCGGAAAAGUGACCACAUGUAAUUACAUCUGCAGAUCAGUGAAGACAGGAAAGAAGAGAAAAAUGCUAACACAUCCUCCUCAACAACUGAAGAGCCAUCUGGAAGGUGAGACUUGCACUGUAAGCUUGUUCAUCUAUGGGUUGCUCUUUCUUUAUGGAGAUCUGCAUCUGCUGCACAACUGCCGAGGCAACAGCAUCAUCAGCCCACUGAAAGUCCCUGGAAACUUUCACCUCAUCUUAUCUUAGUGCAGGAAACUGCAGAGAACCCUAUUGAUUCCUGUAGGCUGCUGACGAACAUACUCCAUGGCUGGCUAUCAG
ensembl:lncRNA